GGCCUAAUUGGUUUCAUAAUUGGGCUAGAAUCUAAUUAGUUAGUUUGUUAUAACUAAUUCCUAAAUUGAUUAAGAUUGGAUCUAAGAGUUAGCUAGAGUUGGAAUAAGAUUCUUGAGUCUUAUUUGUAAUAGGACUUAACCAACUUCCUAAAACCUAUGUGCCUAUUUCUUCCUCAUGCCUCCACUCCCUUUCAUAGUGAGAUCUCAUGCCCAAGAAAAGGCCAUGCCCCCUAUGUUCCCUGAAAGAAAAAUAAGGUGUCUCCCUCUU
rnacentral:lncRNA from 1 species